UAAAAAGAUUCAGAUUGUGUUUGAAAACCAUUCCUUAUUCUACAUAUGACUUCUGUGAAAUAGCAUAAAGAUUUUUUCAACAGUUUCAACUGAAGCAAGUAAUGCCUUAAAAACAUCUGUCUAGGAAUUGCUGACUGUCUUUUCACAUAGAAAAGAAAACUCAAGAGCAAUUGUAAGAAAAGUUAUAUUCUGUGGUGAAUGAAGCUUACUUAUGAACAGUUUGAAAAAUGUUGUCCACUGUCCAUUGACAGUCACUGAUUAUGCAUGAGACCUACAAAGACUGUGUUUAUUUCCUGGAAUUACAUUCAGACUGAGACAUUCUGCAUCCAACCAGUGUAAUCGUGGACUCCGAAAAAGGAAUACAGAUUUAAUGGCAUCCCCAGAACUGAAACUUGGGUUUUCCUCUGUUGACCUAUUCUACUGAACAAGCCAGUGUCUCUGCUGUGAUCCACCAACAUUAAUCUACCAGUAUUAGCUUCGAGGAGACGUAAUCUCUGCUAGUAACCUCCCAGCAGUAUUAACUCCAAGGGGACAUAGCCUCAAGACCACUUCUUAACAGUUAAGAGUAUUUUUAUGGUGGUGAGUAAUGCCUUGGUAAUAUUGAUGUAUACUUGAAGUCUUAAGAGUCCUGAAGGUCUGGUAGAAAACAACUACAAUUAAGACCUGAUCUUAGAUAGUUGGGUAAAUAAAACUCAUAACAAUGAGGGUCAGCUCAGGUCACUGUUUCUUGAAGGACACAAAAUUGUGAUUAGCAUAAGGAGUUUGGAGGGACACAUUUUUAACAUCAACAUUUUAUAUUUUCAAUUUUA
rnacentral:lncRNA from 1 species